rnacentral:lncRNA from 1 species
ACAGCAGCCCGUGGAACGGUGGAAGCAGCCACACCCACUUGGGUCUGGGACUCCCAACUCCCGAGAGAGUGGCAGACACCAGGAUAUGGCGGUGUUGCCCAGGGCUGAGCCUUGAGGUAAAGUAGGGAUCCCACUCCUCCCCCACACAGCAUGGGCAGCCUUGGGGCCUCACGCAAGACGGGCACGGCACCAGCCCCUACCGGGUUGCAAAAGCAGUGCAAAGGCCCAAAGAAAGGUGAGUGAUGGAGGGAGAGAGAGCCACGUGGGUCAGGGGGGCUCCAAGAUCCCUGGACUGCCAGUGCUGGGUGGAGCGGGGAGAUGACUUCACCUACCCAAACCUCGAAUCACAUGGAUGGGAAGAUACAGGCCCAAGCUGUCCCAGUGCACAACCCUCGCAGCUCACACACUGUGUCAGCUUCCCUUCUCUCCCUCCCUUCCUUGU